UUAAAAGCUCGUAGUUGGAUUUCGGAAGGUCCUUAGCGGUCCGCCCCUUCGGGGAGCGGGUCGCUGGCCUCCUAUGUUCCCAACGGUCCUCAUCCGCGAGGGUGGGGAAUCAACCGCUGGGAUCGUUUACUUUGAGGAAAUUAGAGUGUUCAAAGCAGGCGUAACUCGCCUCCGAAUACGUUAGCAUGGGAUAAUGGAAUACGACUUCGGUCUUGUUUCGUUGGUUUCGCUUGGCUGAAGUAAAUGAUUGAUAGGGACAGUUGGGGGCAUUAGUAUUUAGUUGUCAGAGGUGAAAUUCUAGGAUUUACUAAAGACUGACCAAUGCGAAAGCAUUUGCCAAGGAUGUUUUCAUUAAUCAAGAACGAAAGUAGGGGGAUCGAAGACGAUCAGAUACCGUCGUAGUCUCUACCGUAAACUAUGCCGACCAGGGAUCCGGAGAGUUUGCAUGGAUGACUCCCCGGGCACCUUGUGAGAAAUCAUAAGUGUUUGGGUUUUGGGGGGAGUAUGGUCGCAAGGCUGAAACUUAAAGGAAUUGACGGAAGGGCACCA
rnacentral:rRNA from 1 species